rnacentral:rRNA from 8 species
ACUGCUCAGUAACACGUGGAUAACCUGCCCUAAGGAAGGGGAUAACCUCGGGAAACUGAGGAUAAUACCCUAUAGGUUACAGACGCUGGAAUGCCCUGUAACCGAAAGCUCCGGCGCCUUAGGAUGGAUCUGCGGCCGAUUAGGUUGUUGUUGGGGUAACGGCCCAACAAGCCGAUAAUCGGUACGGGUUGUGGGAGCAAGAGCCCGGAGUUGGAUUCUGAGACACGAAUCCAGGCCCUACGGGGCGCAGCAGGCGCGAAAACUUUACAAUGCGGGAAACCGUGAUAAGGGAACCCCGAGUGCCUGUAUAUGCAGGCUGUCCAGGUGUCUAAAAAACACCUGAAGAAAGGGCCGGGCAAGACCGGUGCCAGCCGCCGCGGUAAUACCGGCGGCUCGAGUGGUGGCCACUUUUAUUGGGCUUAAAGCGUUCGUAGCUGGGUUGUUAAGUCUCUUGGGAAAUCUGACGGCUUAACCGUCAGGCGUCUAAGAGAUACUGGCAAUCUUGGAACCGGGAGAGGUGAGGGGUACUUCGGGGGUAGGAGUGAAAUCCUGUAAUCCUCGAGGGACCACCUGUGGCGAAGGCGCCUCACCAGAACGGCUUCGACAGUGAGGGACGAAAGCUGGGGGAGCAAACCGGAUUAGAUACCCGGGUAGUCCCAGCCGUAAACGAUGCGCGUUAGGUGUAUCGGUGACCACGAGUCACCGAGGUGCCGAAGGGAAACUGUGAAACGUGCCGCCUGGGAAGUACGGUCGCAAGGCUGAAACUUAAAGGAAUUGGCGGGGGAGCAC